rnacentral:lncRNA from 1 species
UUCAAUCAUUCAUUUCAUUCAAAAUAAUCCAUGAAAACAUAUUUAGGGCACUUUGCAUUUUAGCCCUUACAUUUUCACACUUUGACAAUUUAGUCUAUUUUUCACAAAAUCACAAAUAUGAAAAAUUCACCAAGACUAUAGCUUGGCCGAAUAUACAUAUCUUCCAUACAAGCCCAAAUAACAUAUUUAAUUCACAAUUUAGUCCUUCAAAACCUCACUUUCACAAAUUAGCCCAAAUAGCUCUAUUCCAUCAAAAAUUCAAGAACAAAGCAGGAUAAUCUCACCUAUAUCUUUCAUAAUCCAUAUAAAAACAUUACAAAGCUCAUAUAAUCAUUAAUGGCACAUUCCAUAAUCUUUAACAGAAAUAGAAAUUCAGACAUGGGAUUUGAAAAACACAAAGCAACAAUUACAGAAACGUAGAAAUUAUCAAAAAUAGACGAAAAUUCAUACCUUAAUCAAGGAUUAAGCUAGCUGAAACCUAAAAUGGCUUUCUUCUUUUUAUUUUCUUUCAUUUUCGGUUAUAAUAUGUGUUUAUGAGCACAUGCAGCUAUUUGUUUUUUUAAUUCAUGUUAAAGCAUGAAUUACCAUUGUAUCCCUCAUUAAAAAAAAUAUCAAUUACAUAAAAUAAGAUCAUUUAUGACCCCUCAUAAAGUCAAUGGAGUAAUUGCCACAUAAGGCCGUAAUAAUCCAAAGCCAUGCCAAUUAAACACAUUGAAUAUAUGGUAUGCAAAUUAUAUCAUUUACGCGAUUAAAUCCUUUAUCAAUUAAGCACAGAAACAGACAAAUUAAAUCACAGAAACUUCGUAGAUAUAAAUUCAAAUAUCAUAGACACAGAAAAUAAUAUUAAAAUAUUUUUUAGAAUUGAUUACGUGGUCUUGGAACCACUGUUCCGACUAGGGUCUAAAUUGGAUUGUUACAACUCUCCUCCCUUUAAGGAUUUUCAUCCCCGAAAAUCUUACCGUUAAACUGAUUCGGAUAUUGUUAUCUCAUAGCAUCUUCAGACUCUCACGUGGCCACUUCAACACCAUGUCGAUGCCACAUCACUUUAACUAACGGAAUUUUUUAUUUCUUAAUUCUUUAACCUCACGAGCUAAAAUACGGAUCGACUUUUCUUCAUAACUCCUAUUAGAUUGGAUUUCAAAAUCAGACGAGGAAAUUAUAUGCGAAUGAUCGGAUCUGUAUCGUCAAAGCAUCGAUACAUGAAACACAUUAUGUAUCAUUUCUAACUCAAAUGGUAGCCUCAAUCAUAAGCAACCGGCCCAACUCGCUCGAUGAUUUCAUACGGUCCGAUGAACCUCGGACUCAACUUUUCUUUUUUACCAAAUCGGAACAGUUUCUUCCACGGAGAUACUUUCAAAAACACUUUAUCACCAAUCUUAAAUUCGAUAUCUUUUCGUUUUAAAUCCGCAUAAGAUUUCUGACGAUCAGAGGCAGCUUUCAGACUAUCUCAUAUUACUUUCACUUUCUGUUCUAUUUCUUUUUUCCGAUCAAUACCAUAAAUCUUAUUCUCACUGAGCUCAGACCAGUAUAAUGGAGUUCUACACUUUCUACCGUAUAAGGCUUCAUAUGGUGCCAUUUUAAUGCUCGAUUGAAAGCUAUUAUUAUAAGCGAAUUCAAUCAAAGGUAGAUAUUGUUCCCAUGUACCUUCAAACUCAAGAAUGCAACAUCUCAACAUAUCCUCAAGUAUCUGAAUAAUCCGUUCAGAUUGACCAUUUGUUUGCGGAUGAAAAGUAGUGCUAAAAUGUAAUUUAGUACCCAGAGCAUCUUGCAAUUUUCUUCCAGAAUCGCAAUGUAAAUCUGGGGUCUCUAUCUGACACUACCGACAUGGUACACCAUGCAGUCUCAGAAUAUCAGAAAUAUAUAUCUCAGCUAAUUUAUCGAAUGAGUAAUCAAAUCAAUCGGAAUAAAAUGAGCUGAUUUCGUCAAAUGAUCAAAUACAACCCAAGUUGCAUCUUUCUUUCUAGGAGACAGGGGCAAACCCGAAACAAAAUCCAUGGUCACUCGAUCCCAUUUCCACUCUAGAAUCAUAAUCGGUUGUAAUAACCCAGAUGGCACCAGAUGUUCAGCUUUAACUUGUUGAUAGAUUAAACAUUUAGAAACAAAAUCAAAGAUAUCUCUUUUCAUUUUGGACCACCAAUAAUGCUGCUUCUGAUCAUUGUACAUUUUCGUACUACCCGGAUGUACAGAUAAACAACUACUGUGAGCUUCACUCAAAAUCGUCCAAAUUAACUCCGAAUUUCUCAAAACACAAAAUCUAUUUCUGAAUUUCGAACAAUCAUCAACAUCAACUCGGAAUUUAGAAUCACGCUGAGCUUGUUUUGCUAUUAAUUCAUUAUCAACCUUCUGAGCUUCGAUAAUCUGUUGUAAGAACGAAGGUCUUGCUUUUAAUUCAGCUAAAAUUGAACCAUCAUCAGACAGAACUAAAUGAGCUUUCAUUGCAUGCAAAGCAAAUAACAAUUUUUGACUCAAAGCAUCAGCAACAACAUUUGCUUUUCUCGGGUGAUAAUCAAUCACAAGUUCGUAGUCUUUUAGUAGUUCUAACCAUCUUCUCUGUCGCAGACUCAAAUCUUUUUGUGUCAUUAAAAACUUCAGACUUUUAUGAUCAAAAAACAAGUGACAUUUCUCACCAAAUAGAUAGUGACACCAGAUCUUCAAGGCAAACACAAUAGUAGCUAACUCGAUGUCGUGAGUCGGAUAGUUCUUUUUUCAUGCGGCUUUAGUUGUCUCUAGGCAUAAGCUAUAACUUUUCCUUCUUCCAUUAGAACACAACCCAGGCCAAUCAACAAAGCAUCACUAUAAAUCACAAAUUCUUUACCCGAUUCAGGUUGUACCAAAACUGGAGCUUCAGUCAAUAAAGCUUUCAACUUAUCAAAGCUGUUCUGACACUUUUCAGACCACUCAAACUUCACAUCUUUCUAGAGAAAUUUUUUUAAUGGAUUCGCAAUCAUCGAGAAACCUUUUACAAAUCUUCUAUAGUAACGAGCAAGUCCCAAAAAACUGCGGACUUCUGAAACAUUCCCAGAGGUUUCCAAUCCAAAAUAGCUGAAAUUUUGCUCGAAUCAACACGGAUACCGGAGGCUGAUACAAUAUGACCCAGGAAACCAACUUCUCGCAACCGUAAUUCACAUUUACCAAAAUUUGCAUACAACUGUUUAUCUCGCAGAGUUUGUAGCAUUAUUCUCAGAUGUUCGACAUGCUCAGAUUCAUCACGUGAAUAAAUCAAAAUGUCAUCAAUGAAUACCACAACAAAUUGAUCUAAAUACGGUCUGAAAAUUCUAUUCAUUAAAUCGAUAAAGACAGUAGGUACAUUCGUUAAUCCAAAAGGCAUAACUAAAAAUUCAUAAUGCUCGUACCUCAUCUUGAAAGAAGUUUUCAGAAUAUCAAAGUCCUUUACUCGCAACUGAUAGUAACCUGAUCUCAGAUCUAUCUUUGACAAUACAGUAGCACUACUUAACUGAUCGAAUAAGUCAUCAAUUCUGGGCAAAGGAUAUUUGUUCUUUAUAGUCACUUUGUUAAGCUGACAGUAAUCAAUACACAUUUUCAUUGUGCCAUCUUUCUUUUUCACAAACAGAACAGGAGCACCCCAUGGUGAAAACCUCAGUCUAGAAAAUCCUCGUUAGUCAAUUCUUGCAACUAAGAUUUUAAUUCCUUUAACUUGGUAGGAGCCAUUCUAUACAGAGCUAUUAAAAUAAGAUUAGUACUAGGUACUAAUUCAAUGCCAAACUCGACUUUUCGAAUUGAAGGAAAACCUGGUAGUUCUUCAGGAAACACAUUAGAGAAUUCACAGACAACAGGUACAAAUUCAACUUUCUUAUCAUUCACUUUCGAGUUUAACACAUACGCUAAGUAGGCUUCAUAGCCUUUUUUCACAUAAUUUCGUGCUUUCAUUGCAGAUAUCAUAGCUGGUAGUUCAUUCAGAUCACUAAACUCAAUUUGAAUUAUUUCAUCAUUCUUACACCUUAAAUCAAUGACUUUUCAUUUACAAUUCACAAUAGCAUCAUGCAAGGUUAACCAGUCCAUUCCCAGAAUUAUAUCAAAUUCAUCAAAAGGUAAUAGCAUCAGAUUAACCAAAAAACAAUUGUCUCAAAACAUUAAUGGACAAUUCUUGCAGACUUUAUCAACCAAGACACUUUUGCCUAAGGGGUUCAAAACUUUAAUUACAAAUCCAGUAGACUCUACAGGCAAAGUCUUACUGUGCACUAAAUUCAUAUAGAUAUAAGAAUGCGUUGAUCUAGGGUCUAUCAAUGUAAUCACAGAAGUAUCAUAAAUAGUAAAAGUACCAGUAAUCACGUUUGGAGAUGAGGCUUCCUCACGAGCUCGAUAGCAUAGGCUCUGGCAGUUGCUCUGGCCUUAGAUCUAACAGUAGUAUCCCUAGUAACUCUUUGACCGCUACUUAUAUUUCUCGUAUUUUUGAAAGGUCUACCUCUAGCUGAGGUGUUGCUCAGUCUCAGAUUCUAUGCAUUCUCUUGCUCAGUAGGUUCAGAACAAUCUCUUACAAAAUGGUCCAGAGGUCCACAUUGAAAAUAGGUUCGGUUGUUCAAUCUACCAUUUCCCGGAUGUCUUUUACCACAGUGUUUACAUUCAGGUUUCUCAGCUUUGAAAUUCGAAUGCGAUCUAGCUCGAUCUCGAUUCGAAUGUCCUACAUCAGCCUUUGAACAGCUAUGAUCAUAUCAGAAUUUCUUUGACACAGACUGAAAUGAUUUACUUGAAGAUCUCUUUCUAAAAUCUCUAGUUUCAAAAUCAUCUUUUAUUUUCUCUUUACUUAAUUCUUCAGCUCCAUAUUUUCUAAUCUUAUCAACUGGUGGUCUGCUCAAUUGGAUCAGAUUCACUGAUGGAAUAACAGGAGUUUGAGGAGAAUUAACAGGGAGUGGAGGUUGUUGUACAGUCGGAUUGGUUCUAAUAUACUGAGUGAACCAAUCAUUUAUCAUUUAAUAGAAAGCUUGUUUAACCUCACCAUCACGGCUACUCGUAGCCGGUCGAGAAUCAGCUUGCAUCGUUCCUUGUGCAGGAGCAAGUGCAUUGCUUUCUACAUUGUCAGCUACAGCUCUAUCGGGAUCCAUUUGCUAUAUAUAAAAGCAAAUUUCAAUGUCAGGAUUCAUCACACUAUCACAAUUUUAGAUAUAUGGCAUGUAUAGCUAGACUCACAUAUGCUAUGGUAGUCCUAGAAUCGACUAAACCAUAGCUCAGAUACCAAUAAAAUGUAACACCCCUAUUCCGUAAUCGUCGCCGAAAUAGAUAAGGGGCAUUACCAGACAGAUAGAACAUUACAGAUGAACACAGAAUCACAGAUAUCACAUAAUAUUAAUGCAUAAUGAAAUCAACAAUUCAUCCCUUAUGGAGGUCUCCAAGACCUAAAACAUACUUUUAAAAGAUGUUGGGACUAAACAGAACACAUUCAGAAUUUUAAGAACUUAGAAAAUUUUUCAAUUCUGUUGAGGUCACACACUCGUUUAACCAGGCCGUGUGCCUUACACUGGCACCAGACACGCCCAUGUAAUCCAGCCUUGCCAUAAUAGAGUAUAUAUACCGAAUUUUACACACGGCCAACAAACACAGCCAUGUGAUACUUAGCUAGCUACUGACUUAAGCCCACGGCCAUAUGACAUACCCAUGUGUCUUAACCGUAUGGUCUUAAAAGGUUACUGCUUUGCAUACACGGCCACAAGGCACGCCCGUGUUCACUGACCGUGUGGCACAAUGCAGGCUUGGUUUAAGCCAACUUGCCACCCCUUUUUGGGUCAUUCCUACAAGCAAUAUUAAACAACAUUUAAUCUAAAAUUUUAUGCCAAUUCCAUGCUCAAAACAUGCUUAAACUUACCAUUUCCUCAACUUGGCAUAUUUCAAAAUGACCACCACAUACAAGGCUAUAUAACCAUUACAAGCAUACACAAUUUGGCAUCACAAACCAUUUACCAAAACUAAGCACAAACAUACCAUUUGCUAGCCAACUCUCAUGGCAUAACAUAUAUACAUAUCAAAGCUUAAAUACAUAGACAUUCUAGCCUAUACAUGCCAUACAUAAAAAUAUUUACACUUUCAAAGGUACCAAAAUGAGUUCGAUAGUAUGGUGACAAUCUUUGACUAUCCCCGAGCCUUCAGUAGCUAUGAUAACUGUAAAACAGACAAAAAUCACACAGAGUAAGCUACAAAGAGCUUGCUAAGCCAAAUACAACUAGCCUAACUAUUAAAGUUUAUAAAAUAAAAAUCAACAGCAAGAAUUCAUAACCAUUUCACAAAAUAGUUCAUGAGCCUAACAUGCUCAUUUGCUUGCAUACAUGCCAUGUUUCAUUUCCAUGAUAUCAUGUAUACUUCGCAUUCAUUAUCUCGCAGAAACAGAGUCUUUCAUAUUAGAAAAUUUAGUACGAUACAAACGUACCUGUGUAGAUUAUACAUUUCAUAUAUUCAUUCCCAUAUCUCGUACUCUAUCCUCAGACAAUUCAAAAAUGAUACAGAUACUUAUAAAUGGGUACAAUGUCGACGUCCCAGACGUGGUCUUACAUGUAAUUCAGUAUCGAUGCCUCUGUCCCAGACAAGGUCUUACACAAAAUCAGAUACGAUGCCGAUGUCCUAGACAUGGCCUUACACAAAAUCAGAUAGGAUGUCGAUGUCUCAGACAUGGUCUUACACAAAAUUAGAUACGAUGCCGAUGUCUCAGACAUGGUCUUACACAAAAUCAAAUACGUUACCGAUGUCCCAGGCACGGUCUUACACAAAAUCAGAUACGAUGCCGAUGUCCCAGACAUGGUCUUUCACAAAAUCAGAUACGAUGCCGAUGUCCUAGACAUGGUGUUACACAAAAUCAGAUAUAAUGCCGAUGUCCCAGACAUGGUCUUACACGAAAUCAGAUACAAUGUCAACGUUCCUUUUAAAAACAUACAGAGCUUUUCAAAUGCUAGCAUAUUAUCAGAGUUUACUCAAAAUUUAUUCAUCAGGCUCUCAAGGUCAUCCAAUACAGAUUACAGUUUGUAUGCACAGAAUUUAGUCAAUUUAACACGUAAUUGUAAUUUGACUUACCUCGUACGAAUUUCAGACAGAAACAAGUCGACUAUUCCACUAUUUUGGACUUCCCUCGAUCUAAGUCUGAUUUUCUUUGUUCUUGAUCUAUAACAAUUCAAAUUCAACAAUUCAAUCAUUCAUUUCAUUCAAAAUAAUCCAUGAAAACAUAUUUAGGGCACUUUGCAUUUUAGCCCUUACAUUUUCACACUUUGACAAUUUAGUCCUUUUUUCAUAAAAUCGCAAAUAUGAAAAAUUCACCAAGACUAUAGCUUGGCCGAACAUACAUAUUUUCCAUACAAGCCCAAAUAACAUAUUUAAUUCACAAUUUAGUCCUUCAAAACCUCAUUUUCACAAAUUAGCCCAAAUAGCUCUAUUCCAUCAAAAAUUCAAGAACAAAGCAUGAUAAUCUCACCUAUAUCUUUCAUAAUCCAUAUAAAAACAUUACAAAGCUCAUAUAAU